rnacentral:rRNA from 1 species
AAUAUUGCACAAUGGGGGAAACCCUGAUGCAGCGACGCCGCGUGGAGGAAGAAGGUCUUCGGAUUGUAAACUCCUGUUGUUGAGGAAGAUAAUGACGGUACUCAACAAGGAAGUGACGGCUAACUACGUGCCAGCAGCCGCGGUAAAACGUAGGUCACAAGCGUUGUCCGGAAUUACUGGGUGUAAAGGGAGCGCAGGCGG